GAUGAACGCUGGCGGCGUGCCUAAUACAUGCAAGUCGAGCGAACGGACGAGAAGCUUGCUUCUCUGAUGUUAGCGGCGGACGGGUGAGUAACACGUGGAUAACCUACCUAUAAGACUGGGAUAACUUCGGGAAACCGGAGCUAAUACCGGAUAAUAUUUUGAACCGCAUGGUUCAAUAGUGAAAGACGGUCUUGCUGUCACUUAUAGAUGGAUCCGCGCUGCAUUAGCUAGUUGGUAAGGUAACGGCUUACCAAGGCAACGAUGCCUAGCCGACCUGAGAGGGUGAUUCGCCACAAUGGAACUGAGAACAGGUCCCAAACCCUAAGGGAGGCAGCAGUAGGGAAUCUUCCGGCAUGGGCGAAAGCCUGACGGAGCAAAGCCGCGUGAGUGAUGAAGGUCUUCGGAUCGUAAAAAUCUGUUAUUAGGGAAGAACAUAUGUGUAAGUAAAUGUGCACAUCUUGAAGGUAACUAAUCAGAAAGCCACGGCUAACUAAGUG
rnacentral:rRNA from 1 species